rnacentral:rRNA from 1 species
UGGGGAAUUUUGGACAAUGGGCGCAAGCCUGAUCCAGCAAUGCCGCGUGCAGGAUGAAGGCCUUCGGGUUGUAAACUGCUUUUGUACGGAACGAAAAGCCUCUCUCUAAUACAGGGGGGUGAUGACGGUACCGUAAGAAUAAGCACCGGCUAACUACGUGCCAGCAGCCGCGGUAAUACGUAGGGUGCAAGCGUUAAUCGGAAUUACUGGGCGUAAAGCGUGCGCAGGCGGUUUUGUAAGACAGUGGUGAAAUCCCCGGGCUCAACCUGGGAACUGCCAUUGUGACUGCAAGGCUGGAGUGCGGCAGAGGGGGAUGGAAUUCCGCGUGUAGCAGUGAAAUGCGUAGAUAUGCGGAGGAACACCGAUGGCGAAGGCAAUCCCGUGGGCCUGCACUGACGCUCAUGCACGAAAGCGUGGGGAGCAAACAGGAUUAGAUACCCUGGUAGUCCACGCCCUAAACGAUGUCAACUGGUUGUUGGGGAUUUAUUUCUUCAGUAACGAAGCUAACGCGUGAAGUUGACCGCCUGGGGGAGUACGGCCGCAAGGUUAAAAACUUAAAAGGAA